AGCACAGAUCUCUGUAAAUGCCUCAGCCUGCCCUGCCUAGUGGUUGCUGACUGUUGUACAGACAGGCACAUCCUGUACUACAUUUUGAGAUCCAGUCAUCUUCUAGGGACUGAUGCAAGUUGUGUGGCUCUAUGCUGAUUUGUGUCAAGUAAGAAGGAAGCAACUUGGAAGUCUGUGAAGAACAGGAUCAUCUCUUGAAGCAGAUACUGGUAGCUGUGCAGCUUUGGUCCCCACACAGUGCCCAUCAUCAUGGUCCUGUGGGUCUCAAAACAACAGGUGAACUGAAUGUGGACUGAAGCCCCCAAAACUUGAAACCUGCUGAAAUAAUGAGGAUCCUGCUGACAUAACGGGGAUCGUGUUUGAUGCACAUCCAUUCUGCAGCACAUCCAGGGGAAGUUAACAUUUAAAUUCAAGAAACACUUAUGUAAAGCAACCAGACAUAUGCCGAAUGCUUCUUGAAUUAUUUAGUAAAAUUCUAAUUAUCUAGAUAGUAUGCAUAAAAUGGACAAUUUGUAUUUAAAAUUUCAAGCUUAUAUCCUUGGCUAUAUAAUUGUACAUGAUUUUCCCCCAGAGCUAGAAAGAGAAUCUUUAAUGUAUGAUAAUUACAUUUGAAGAAGAAUUAAAAAACACAUGUAAUUUAAAUAAAAUCAAUAAAAAGAGCUGUCAAAUAUCUACUUGAGCUCAUUUCAUGGAAAUCUUCUAAAGUUGUGCUCAACAUUUCUUUCUUCUUUUCAGAGUGUAAGCAGAAUAUUUCUCUCACUUUAGAAAGAGGCCCUGAACUUACUAACUAUUCCUCUAGAACCAUGCACCAUUUCUUUGUCCAACCCUGACAAGGCUCAUUGUAUUUCCCAGUUUUCUUCAUUUGGAUUAGCUAGAACUGGGUUGUUGACUCUGUUCAGAGAAAUAAGUGAAGUCAUACAAUAAGGGAACCUUUGUAACUGGUCUCUCUUAACACACUUUUCAAAAAUCUUCACAUGUUCUGUGUCUGUUCUUCACUUGUACAGCUAAACAAUUAAUUGUAAGGCUAAAAUAUUAUUUUAUUUGUCAAAGCAUCAAUGUAUAAGUACA
ensembl:lncRNA